rnacentral:misc_RNA from 1 species
AACGCACAUUGCGCCCCCUGGUAUUCCGGGGGGCAUGCCUGUUCGAGCGUCAUUGACACCCUCAAGCCUGUGCUUGGUGUUGGGCGGCUGCCCCCCUCCUCUGCUGGGGGACUCGCCUCAAAGUCAUUGGCAGCCCGCUGUCCCGCUCUCCCGCGCCGUAGCUUUGCGCGCACUUGGGGGGAGGAAAACUGGGGCGGUAGCGGCAUCCAGCAAGCGCGUCCGUUGUGGACCCACAGCUUGACCUCGAAUCAGGUAGGGAUACCCGCUGAACUUAA